rnacentral:rRNA from 1 species
AGGAAUAUUGGUCAAUGGACGCGAGUCUGAACCAGCCAAGUAGCGUGAAGGAUGACUGCCCUAUGGGUUGUAAACUUCUUUUAUAUGGGAAUAAAGUUGUCCACGUGUGGAUUUUUGUAUGUACCGUAUGAAUAAGCAUCGGCUAACUCCGUGCCAGCAGCCGCGGUAAUACGGAGGAUGCGAGCGUUAUCCGGAUUUAUUGGGUUUAAAGGGAGCGCAGACGGGAGAUUAAGUCAGUUGUGAAAGUUUGCGGCUCAACCGUAAAAUUGCAGUUGAUACUGGUUUCCUUGAGUGCAGUUGAGGCAGGCGGAAUUCGUGGUGUAGCGGUGAAAUGCUUAGAUAUCACGAAGAACCCCGAUUGCGAAGGCAGCUUGCUAAACUGUAACUGACGUUCAUGCUCGAAAGUGUGGGUAUCAAACAGGAUUAGAUACCCUGGUAGUCCACACGGUAAACGAUGGAUACUCGCUGUUGGCGAUAUACUGUCAGCGGCCAAGCGAAAGCAUUAAGUAUCCCACCUGGGGAGUACGCCGGCAACGGUGAAACUCAAAGGAAUUGACGGGGGCCCGCACAAGCGGAGGAACAUGUGGUUUAAUUCGAUGAUACGCGAGGAACCUUACCCGGGCUUAAAUUGCAGACGAAUUACGAGGAAACUUGUAAGCCGCAAGGCGUCUGUGAAGGUGCUGCAUGGUUGUCGUCAGCUCGUGCCGUGAGGUGUCGGCUUAAGUGCCAUAACGAGCGCAACCCUCGUGGCCAGUUACUAACAGGUUAAGCUGAGGACUCUGGCCAGACUGCCAUCGUAAGAUGUGAGGAAGGUGGGGAUGACGUCAAAUCAGCACGGCCCUUACGUCCGGGGCUACACACGUGUUACAAUGGGAGGUACAGAAGGCAGCUACCCGGCGACGGGAUGCCAAUCCCCAAAACCUCUCUCAGUUCGGACUGGAGUCUGCAACCCGACUCCACGAAGCUGGAUUCGCUAGUAAUCGCGCAUCAGCCACGGCGCGGUGAAUACGUUCCCG